GGCUCCAUGGUGUAGUGGUUAGUACGUCUGCUUUGCAUGCAGAAGGUCCUGGGUUCACCCCCCAGGUAGAGCCA
rnacentral:tRNA from 1 species